rnacentral:rRNA from 1 species
UGAGUAACGCGUAGGCAACCUGCCCUCCGGGCCGGGGACAACACUACCGGAAAGGGGUGCUAAUACCGGAUACGAAGUCUGUGCCGCAUGGUACGGUAUUUAGAAAGAUGGCCUCUAUUUAUAAGCUAUCGCCGGGGAUGGGCCUGCGUCCGAUUAGCUGGUUGUGGGUAACGGCCUACCAAGGCGACGAUCGGUAGCCGGUCUGAGAGGAUGAACGGCCACAUUGGGACUGAGACACGGCCCAGACUCCUACGGGAGGCAGCAGUGGGGAAUCUUCCGCAAUGGGCGCAAGCCUGACGGAGCAACGCCGCCGUGAGUGAGGAAGUUCUUCGGAACGUAAAGCUCUGUUGUUCCUGACGAACCUCCCUUCUAUCAACAACGGAGGGGACUGACGGUAGGGAACGAGGAAGCCACGGCUAACUACGUGCCAGCCGCGGC